rnacentral:rRNA from 1 species
AGUUUGAUCAGUGGCUCAGGACGACGCUGGCGGCGUGCCUAACACAUGCAAGUCGAACGAGGUCCAUCCUUCGGGAGAAGACCUAGUGGCGAACGGGUGAGUAACACGUGAAGAACCUGCCCCGAAGACCGGGAUAACCCUCCGAAAGGAGAGCUAAUACCGGAUACCCCCACCGAACCGCAUGGUUUGGUGAGGAAAUGGAUUCCGCUUCGGGAGGGCUUCGCGGCCUAUCAGCUAGUUGGUGGGGUAACGGCCCACCAAGGCAUCGACGGGUAGCUGGUCUGAGAGGACGAUCAGCCACACUGGGACUGAGACACGGCCCAGACUCCUACGGGAGGCAGCAGUGGGGAAUCUUGAGCAAUGGGCGAAAGCCUGACGCAGCAACGCCGCGUGGGGAUGAAGGCUCUCGGGUUGUAAACCCCUUUCAGCAGGGACGAAUCAAGACGGUACCUGCAGAAGAAGCCCCGGCUAACUACGUG